rnacentral:rRNA from 1 species
AAUCAACGCUGGCGGCGUGCCUCAGACAUGCAAGUCGAACGAGAAAGUUUCCUUCGGGGAAUGAGUAAAGUGGCGCACGGGUGAGUAACACGUAGGUAAUCUACCUUCGGGCGGGGAAUAACCCAGGGAAACUUGGGCUAACACCGCAUAAUGCAGCGGCACCACAUGGUGACAGUUGUUAAAGCGGGGGAUUUUAGGACCUCGCGCCUGAAGAGGAGCCUGCGGCGGAUUAGCUAGUUGGAAGGUAACGGCUUACCAAGGCGACGAUCCGUAACCGGCCUGAGAGGGCGGGUCGGUCACACUGACACUGACAUACGGGUCAGACUCCUACGGGAGGCAGCAGUCGGGAAUUUUGGGCAAUGGG